CUUAAAGAUGCAGUAUGUCCGAAUUCCAGCGUCCAGCAAGGUCUGGUCUACGAUCGGAGUACAAGUUUACUUCGUUGAUGUGCCUCGCCCUGUAGAUCAGGAAGGAAAAUCCACCGCAGCUGUUGUCGUUUUUACAAGGAAAAAUGCGACAAACAGCCCGAGCGGAGAUCAAACGGGACCGUCCGAUGCGAAUUCAGCCGCUUAAUCCGAAUCGAGCCCCAGUCUCAAGGUACAACGGGGGGGAAAUGAGAUCUUAUAAGAAUAACAUACAGCUUGCAUAGUGUACAGCGAGCCUGCCGUCUGCUUAACAGUAGGCUAUAUCGCUGGAUGGCUCGUCGCAGUACAGUGCUCUUGUUGGCCGUUGCUUAAAAUUAGUGCUGCUUCUUCAGCCUCAUGGAUUUUGCAACAUUUCGCGUUUCUCUGCGUUUUAUGUGGCAUCGGCGUUUCUCCUUCGCGAUUCCCCUCCACGUCCAUGCAGACGGCCUGGGCGAUGGGAUCCCAGGAGAUCUUACGGUCGUCUAGCGAAGGAAUAGAUGAAGCAUAGAGGUGUGUGUGUGCGCGUGUGUGUGUGUGUUUAUGGGGGGUUGGGGUGGUAGCGGUGGUAAUGUAUUAGUGUUGCACUUGAUGGCGUAGUUUACAAGAAAGGGGAUAUAUGCGAGAGAAGAUGUGUAUUAUCGGUCUGUCAGAGGAGAGGGGAGCUGGAAACAGCCGUGGUGAUUUUAAAGUGGAGGCAUAACUUAACUUGAGCAUAAGUUACCCUCAGUGUUUUCACACAGGUAAUGCGACACCUGUGCAAUUUAGGGAGGACGGCUUCUUUACGGCGGCGCGGCUCAAAAGCCGUGGUUUCCGUUUAUUUACAUUAUAGACAGGCGGCAGUUACAUAAGGACGUUGGCUUGAAUCAAAUUAGUUUUAAGGAAACAAACAUUUUCUUUGUAACUGAAUUUUGUGGCUAAACACAGACAAAACGGGCAAAAAAAAGAAAAAGGAAAAAAAAAACACAAAAUGUUUAUCAGCUAGGAAGAUAGACACCUGCAUAUAGUAAAAAAAAAUCACUAAAUCAAAAAAGAAAAAAAGGUAGUUUUAGACUUUGAAAAAACGGAUGAAGCAUUAAAGUGCCAUAAUAGGACAGCCGUGACACUGUAUACAUACAAGUAAAAAUACCUUUAUUAGCAGGAAAUAUUAGAUGUAGUUCCAAGUAGUAUAAACCAUUAUAUUAUGAGUUAGCAGAACAACAGUUCUAAGUAAAUACUUUUAAACAGGAUAAAAAUAAAGUGUAAUAAAUUAAUAUAUCAGAAGGACUAUAAUCAACAACACGCUACCUUAUCAGACGGACUAGCGAGCAGAUAUAUGUCCGUCAUUUACACUGAUUCCACGUCAAUGUCAACAUAUGCCGUGGAAAAUCUUGUAAAAAUAUAUUUUAUACUGCAGAAAGUCCGUUCUUUUCACUUGAAAUAAGAUACUGCACUGUCAUUAGUUUUUUAAUGUUCCAGAAAUUGUUAGUCAUAGUAGCAAACCUACAUAGACCUCGCCGGAAACGAGCAGGUUUACACGCCGCGGGUUUUGCGGUUUCGCUACCAGACCCGUGUGUUUGUAAACUUCAGUGAACUGUCCACUGUGUAAGAGAAGCUGACCUGGCGAAAAGCAUUCCGGUUUUAAAACGGCGAUCGUGCCCAUAUGUAGAGAAAAGUUCAUGUGAAUCCUGGGGCCUGUGGUGUCCUGCAGUCUCGCCUCUGACAGCCAACCUGCCCUCCGGCAGACGAACUGCGCUCCUUUCCAACCGGGCAAAUUAUCCGCCUCGCCAUUUACCGCGAAGGUGCAUCCAGGACUCAUCCGAGAUUUUAAAAUAUAAGGCGAAUACAAGCCUUGUGAUCAAAACGAAGCCGUCUUUCCCUUUAGGCCGGCGUGAAAUCGGCCAGCGGUCAGUAAUUGCCUGCAUAACACGCCGCGUGCAUGGUACAUUUAUCUUAUUUAUCUUUCUUUCACUUUCUAAAUAAUUGCUGGACAUUUUUACAUUGUAACAGACAGUUGUAAUUACAAGCCGAAAAUACCGAAAUGUGAAUGGCACAGUGAAAAGUAACAGGAGUGCAGCACCGAACACACAUUUAUUGGCAAGUAUUGAAUGGACCCCAAGUUACAUAAAUUAAAGAACUGUGUUUAAUAAAACGCUUAGCCCGCAGUAGUGAGAUGCUAAAUUCAAUAUAAACCGAAAGGAACGAAAAUCAUUCGUCUAGUAUCAAGAAGUCCUGGAAAUUCAUCAAGCGUGUAUUUAAGCUCACACUGAAAACUCUAGAAAAUAUUUUUUCAUCAUGCUGUUCAGAUCCCACAUUUCGCUACUCGCAACCCUAAUAAUUUUCUGUGAUUUAUUUUAUUGUUUAUAAUGAUCACAUACAAAAUCAUAAAUCAGUACUGACUGAACUGAGUCGUUCUUUAAAACCUGGUGUGGAUUACUUCAUUGCACUCGAUAGCUGCAAUUCAUUUCACCAUACAAUUUAAUUUAACCACAUCGUCAAUUUAAUUAAUGGAUUUGCAGAGCAUUGUGCGUAGAGAAAUUUGGCUGUUUAAAAGGGUCUGCAUAUAAAAACAACUGCGUUAUAACCAUGGCCUUCGCUGCUGUAAAAUAUUAGCAAAAUAUUCAUAAGUAGCCUUCUUAUUAACGGUAGGCUAUAUUUGAACACACCGAAUUAUCCUGACUGUCAACACACAUCAUUUAUAUAGGAAGGUAUUUAACUGCAUAAACGCGCUUUUGUGCUAGUUUAUGUACACUAUUACUGAUGCAACAAGUUAAAUGAACCGGGAAACUUCAUUACUCACGUUUGGGAAAAUUAUAUUAUUAUUAAUAAUAAUAAUAUUUAUUGCAGUUAAAACCAUCUAAAAUGGAUGAAUGGAUUGUAAUUAAAAACAGCCAUAAGCAGUUAAGCUUUGUAUUAUUCUGAACGAAUUGCUGGUGUUCAAAAAGAACUGACUGAGCAUGAGAAUCUUUAAAAAAGGCACAAUAAAAGUAAAAUACUUUGGUUACAUUCUUAAUGCACGCGAAGGCACAUUCUGUAAAGAUAUCUGCUCAAUUUCGGAUAUAUGGAAAGGUCGUUGCACGUUUUACAAUAUAAUUGGUGAAAAUAACAUAUGGGGCAGCUGUAUUGCGUCUCCUCAGAAAACUGCGCAAAACUGCGCCAGCCGUGGGACAUAUGAGGCGGCACUAGCCGAGCGCGACUAGUGACUCCAGUUUGGACCAAAGGACUUCUGCUCUGUAGACCUCCAGACAGGCUGCUUUUAGGUAGUCCUCAAUCUAAAAUAUACACUUUUUAUUGUGAUGAAUAACAUUUCAUAAAUAAAAAAAUUCCGAGGACCUGCUGCAAAGCCGUUUUUUUCGUGCUAUUAUUAGCGCUGUGCGGCCUUUUAAAGUUUUAAGUCUCUAGCUCUGUUUAACCUUCUCAGUUUCAGUCUUAAAUACUAUUUUGCAGAAUAGAUGCAUAAAUUCUCAGAAAAGCCACGUCACUAAGUAAACUUUUCAUAUCCUACAUAAUUUAUGAUUAAUAAAUCAAAUAAUGGUUUGCAUCAAACAGGCCACGGAUGAUUUUAAAAACUGACGUCUUUUUAAUUUACUGCAUUUAAAAGCACAGCAAGACUGUGCUAAAGGUAAAUUAUUUGCAUAAAGUUUUAAUUUAAUAAAAAUGUCAAAUUAAUUUGGUAAUGGUAAUAAUACACUCCUGCAAAAUCCCGAUAAUUAGUGAUAUAAUUAGAAUUACACCAGGUGCAGAAUCACUGGUUAUUCCUGGAAUAAAAGUCCCUUUAAGAUCCCGUCUUACAGUUGACUUUCAGCCAGCAGCAACAGUGAGUCUCUGCUCUCCUCUCUCUAUCUGCCCACACUUUCCCUCCUCAGACGCUCACACUGUGCGAAUGAACUGGAGCAACUUAAACUUGAAAGACGCCGUGAAAGUAGCGACGCUGUUUGUUUCACAAUAACUCUAUGGGGUUUUUUGUUUAUCCCUUUGAACUGACAGUUUUCAUACACAUACUUGAGUUUGGAUCAAUCAAAAUAUUUACUUUGAAUUCCGUAAACAUUUCAGAGUAUAAAAUAUCCCAGUAAUACUAUCAGUGAUUGAUAACAAUAACAAUACUAAGCAUCAUGUUAUUAGUAGUAGUAGUAUUGUUGUUGUUGUUGUUGUUGCUUGUCAUAUCCGCGCUGCAUUUGCCACCACGCUGCCACAUCACCCUAAUUCAGACCCCUGGCAUCGCGGUUUGCCAGCACGGGGCCUGGCUGUCCUAAGGGAAGAGUUUCAUUACAAAGAAUUA